CAAUAACGCAAUACGUGCACGGUUAAACGCACAUCAGACGAAACACUUCGUUUCGCGAGCAUAAACGUACACACGCACCGUUGAGACUGCGGAUGAAUAACGGCGCGAACCCGCGGGUUAUCCGUCGAUCGCCGUAAACUUUUCGAUGCGAAUUGAAACCUGCAAUAGGUGGGUGCCACGUAGCCGCACUGUGUGUACCAUCCCUCCGUCACUUCGGGUUUUAAUUAAAAAACAAGUCCGCGCUGUGCGUUUCGGUUACAAAGUGUGCGCGGCGAAUAGCUCGACGAGCGCGAUACCGAAUAUUGACAGUGCGAGUAUAUUUAUGCUCGGGAGGGGAUAUGCGACGGCCACGCGUCAAGUGUCGGCGCAAUCGAAAUUUCCGUUCGUCAAAAUAAAUAUACGCGAAUAUACGAGAUUCCAUUAUGCGUAGUCCAACGUGUCGGUAUGGAAUUGUUGUUAUCGGAUAACAACGAUCGAAAGAUAAACUUGUAAAUAAUCAAAUUCAAGAUUUAGAUAUUAAGUAAGUACAAUUUAUUUCGUCACACUUUAGUCGCGUUUUAUAUUUAAUUUCCACUACGGCGGAAAAUUAAAUUAUUCAUAUUUUUUACCUUUGAAAUCUUAUAUAAAAAAAAAAAAAAGAGAGUUUUUUUUUGUACGUUUGUUUUAUUUUUAUUCACGGGAAAUCGGUAAAAUAUGAAUUUAUUGUUAACGGUUAAACAAAAUUUAAAUUGCUCGCUAAUUAAAUCUUAUCCAAUAAAAUAAUACAAUUAAAUGCCUCUGUUUUGAGUUAAAAUUUGGAAAUACUUAAUACGUCGAAUAAUUUAAUUUAUAUAUCUACUCAAGACUCAUCGUUAAAUCAUUGCUAACGUAAAAAGAUUCUGAGCGGAUUUCGUUUAAACAUUUCUUUCAUACAAAUCACAUAGAAAUAAAUAUUAACUGAUAAAUUGUAUAGGUAGUAAAACAGUAACGCCGCCUGAAUUACCGCCACCGACACCACAAUCGCAACCGCGGCUAUGCUUUUUUCGCGCCGCACUGCGUCGCUUUACGCGAAAUUCUAUAAUUCAGAAAUUUUAAAUGAAUAGAUCAAAAGUCACUAGAAUAUUUUGAAAGUUGUACUAUUUUGUUAAAAGGUUAAUAAAAGUAAAAAAUACGCGAAUCAUGACAAAUAUUGAAAUCUGAAAUUAAUAAAACCGUACAUUUUCCGGUUUUUUCUAUGUUUUUUUUCCACGUUUUCCAAAUUGCCGGAAAACUGCAUGAAAAACAAAAACGAAUAUUGCAUUCUCAAUGCACUAACUAGAUCACAUUCCUUAUCACUUUUUGAUCGGUGCAAGAUUUCUAGUAGACAAGUUGUUUACAGAAUGUAAACAAAAUUAAAAUCACGUUUUAUAGUAAAACUAAUGCAUUCCUCGCGUUAAGGUCAGAGUUCAAAAAAAAAUAAAAAAAAAAAAAAAUGUAUAAUUUGAAAAACUUAAGUACCUAGGUAUAAAUAAGUCCUUUUAUUCCCAACAUGCUUAUGACUAGCCCAUUGAAACGGCAGCGUAUAAUCGAAUUUUGAAGUUUGACCAACAACUAUAUAGCAUUUCAAACGUCUGUAUCGACAAAUUAUUCCUAAAAUUCGAUAAAACAAAUUUCCCUUACAUUUAAACUCAGUGCGGUGUGGCUAUUAACCGGAACGCGCUACGUCAACUGAAAUUGGAGUAUCGUGUGUCUAUAGAAUCUGCGUUUUUUACUUCAAAAGAAUAUUAUAUCUAUAGAUUUGUUUUUUCUCUUUCGUACUUCAUGAAUAUUAAAGGUGUUUUAAAUUCAAACCGAAAUGGACCGCGGACGACGUUGCCGCUUAAGUAAGUCGCGGUCUAAAAAGUAUUUCGGCUAAUGAACCUAGCGCAGGCUCCUUAUUUCCAUCUCGGUAGUUUUCGUGCGCAUUAUUGUUAUUAUCGUCAACUUUUUUUUUUUUUGUUUCUAGUGUAUCUACUAAACAGAAGACGUCUGAAUACGAAAAAAAAGAAGUUACUACGACGUUCAUAGCAACAUUAAUCUUCAAAACUUCUGUCAGAUUUCUUAUCAGAAUCUGACCUAUUGCCGCUACCACUGUUAAAAUCAUCUCAGCUACAAGAUCCUAUAAACGAUUUUACGUUGAACAAAAUGUAGUGUGCAGACAAUCAACGGCAUUCAAGAGUUCGGGACAGACACACCAUCUGUCCAAAAUUUCGAAUGGCUUUUGUCAUUUCACCUGUAUCGUUCGACGAACAUGUCGUAUUUUUCAAUAGUUAUGUACCUAUCACAAUGAUCGCCGACGUUACAAUACAUCUCUAUUGCUGCACUGUAUUUCAAAGUCAUUGAACAUUAUUUGAAUCUUUACUGAAUGUGAUCUACGUAAAGGAUUUUCCAAUAGAAAUUCCUUUACUAACCACCCUUAUAAGUAAGCCCUCCUUUUCCAUGCUUAACUAGGCCUCAUUAGUUUUCUUCUCUUUAUUCUACAGAUUUUAAUUAUGACGUAUCCUCCAAUACCCAGUGUCAGAGUCAAAACUGGCCUAUAAAUUAUCCUUCUUGAUAUUUUUCACUCAAAAACUGCAAGUCUUGUUUCUUCAAUUUUUUUCUGAGACCGUUUUUUAGAAUAAUUUAACACAAUUGACCGUAUCAGGAUAAUAUAAAAUAAUAUAAUGUUUAGUUUUUAAUAUGAAACUUUUGAGCCAUACAAUCUAUUUAGGCCAUAAUCACAUCUAUUUUUCAUUUUUAUUUUUGUGUUUAUCUCCAUCUCCAUCUUAAUCUUGUUAAUCUUGUGUCAUUAGAGAUUCUUGGUAUUUAAAAUAUAGAACUCUUUUAAACUCACGGUGCACCAAUUCUAUGAAUUCUCUACUUCUACGUCAAAUUGUACACAUACUCUGUUUUUUUGUCAUUGAUUAUCAGACCACACUUGCUACACUUAUUCAUUGUCUAUAAUAUUUUUUUUUUACAAUUUCUAAAUUAUUUAGCGUUUAGUCCGUACACACACAAUUCCCCGAAUAUAACGAUUAGGCCUGUGGUUUAGAGCUGAAUCAUUAGAAAGUGUCGUCCGAUCUUAGAUUUCAAAAUCUGAUUGAACGUUAUAUAACUUGCAACGCUGAAACUAAAGUUAUUGAUGUCCACCCUACCAGAUUAAAGUAAUAUAGUAUAUUAUAAUUUGUCACUUAGAUCGUAAGUGCUGUUUUUAUUAUUUUU